GUGGGCAUAGUUUAAGAAAAACAUCAGAUUGUGGAUCUAAAAAUAGAGGUUAAAAUCCUCUUGCCCGCC
rnacentral:tRNA from 1 species